rnacentral:rRNA from 1 species
UACGAAGGGGGCUAGCGUUGUUCGGAAUUACUGGGCGUAAAGCGCGCGCAGGCGGUCUUCCAAGUCAGUGGUGAAAGCCUGGAGCUCAACUCCAGAACUGCCAUUGAAACUGUUAGACUUGAGUACGAGAGAGGUGAGUGGAAUUCCCAGUGUAGAGGUGAAAUGCGUAGAUAUGGGGAAGAACACCAGUGGCGAAGGCGGCUCACUGGCUCGUAACUGACGCUCAGGCGCGACAGCGUGGGGAGCAAACAGG